rnacentral:lncRNA from 1 species
UAUUAUAUUUGAAUCAUGGAACGGAGGGAAUCGAUGGCAUUUUGGCUUAAUCGUUGCACCUUGAGCCUGCGAUGCGCUAACGCAAACUCGAUUUCUCGACUACGAAAAAAACAGAAAAAGAGGGAUUUAAGACACUUGGCCUACAGGCCAGUGUAAUAACGGUAUUUGGUCUACAUAUCUUUAAUUUGAAAUUUCCUUUCGUUGGCUGUUUUAUCAACUUUUAAAAACUGAAAAAUCACCGCGUUGUCGAAUCGCGUCCGGUGUGGGUCAGCCUUUACAUGAAGUAGUUACCGAUCAUUCUUCCAAUGGCAUAGCCAACGUCAUAGACUCCAGCUCGAUCCUAAAUCCAUCUAAUUGGUUUAUUUCUGUCACAUGAUGCUUAUUUAUAUUCACUAGUAUAAAAGCGCAUGUAAUUCUCCUGACUCCCGCUAAUCUGAAGGUAGCCAUUGGGUCUUCUAUGCUUCUACGCAGAAGUUUUUGAUAUGGUAAAAAUCGAAGGAAGUCAAGAAAGCUCUGCUAUCAUUCAGAACAGAACGGCGACCAACCAAGAGAGUGAUCACAAUAAGUCAAUAUCUUAAUUAUUUACGCUCCGAAUUACUUAUAUCGCAUAUCAAUUACUACAUUAAUUAAAAAUCGACUGAGAAAUCUUGAAAUACUGCAUAAAUUAUAGUUCAUUCAAACAUACUCUAACACGUCAUUGUUUGGCCAUUUUUCUAAGUUUUUUUAGCAAAUUAUUUACGCAUUAUUUAGCCUGUGAUGCAGACACACAUCUAUAUCUCGAUUGUGGCCGCUAAACUGUAACAUAUUUUGCUUUUCAAAAAAAAAUGAACUCAAAUGAGCACAGAAUAGACUAUACAGAAGCCAGGCUUCUUGGUUUUUCCUAUGAUUUCCAAUAAUUUUAGCGUAACCGUAAUUCGUCAUCAAAAUGCUGACGCCAUGCGCCUAGCCAGUGCGCGUUUGAGAGGCAUUCACCCCCUGAAAAUAUUCAAAAUGGCGGAAAUCCAGGAGGGUAAUGCCUCUCAUAAACGCACUGGCUAAGCCCAUGGCGUCAGCAUUUUGAUAGCUAUGUAGCUUCACUGCCUCCACGUGAUUUUUGGAGUUCCAGUAGCUUAUGUACGUGCUAUCAAUUACGUUCUGAAGCACACUUCUUAGAUUUAGAAUUAGCCGCUUAGAUAAUGGAAGUGGCUCGUCUUGCCGGUUAACUCGCCUCCAUAUAAACAGGCCCUCAGUAAGCUCAGUUACAGAGUGACUGGAACUCGUAACUUCCACAAAGGUUUCCGUGCACUUUAAGAUUUCCUCAUUAUGCGACUAACCGCUGAGGUUUGUGUGUGGGCGCAUGAAAAAAUGUGAAAAAAUCAAAUGAAACCUCAUGAUACAGAAUAAAGACAUAUGGUAAUUGCUAGAUAGUAUACUUCAAAAUAAGAUUUCCGUUUUUAUAUCAAUUUUAAAAUAAGUUAGGAUUAGGUUAGGGUUUAGGUUAGGGUGAGGGUUAGUAUUAGGGGUAGGUUUUAGUUUUGCGUUAGGAUAGUUUUUUCUACGUUAUAAAAACGGAAACCUUAUUUUGAAGUAUACUAUCUAGCGAUCAUCAAAGACAUAUAGAAGGGUCAACUCGAGUAACCGCUAGCACGCCAUGAUUAAUCUAAACCUCGCUGAUAAUAACUCAGGUGGAGCUAGAAACCCUGGGCAAAACAUCUGCGACCAGCCUAGUCCCAGGCUCUCUCUCUCUAUUCGCUGCUUUGAUAUAUUUAAAUAAGUCUUAAAAGUUUUACGCCUGGGUGUGCUGUGCGGAACGCUUCAGCGUGAGAGCCUAGCAGAUUUCGGUAAAAUGGACCCUGAUUUCAAAAAAGUGGUCACUGGCCUGGUUACCAAGCAUACCGCAUUUGUAAAUGGGAAAUGUUAUGGAAAUUUCCUUUGCAUUUAUAAUUAAGUCAUUAGUUUCGCUCUAAUGCUGUCGGAACAAAGAAAUAGGCUACGUUUGGCUACCAUACGGUCAGAAUGGAAUAACCGGCUAAAUAGGACUCGUGUUUACUAAAAUAUAUAUAUGUUAUUUACCGGAUUGGAGGUCCGUAUAGAGAAAUAUUUCUCGAGGUCUUAAAAACGGCCCGAGGUCGAAGGCCGAGGGACGUUUUUAAGACCGAGAGAAAUAUUUCUCUAUACGGACCGACCAUAUACCGGUAAAUAAUAUCGGGAAGAGAAAUAUCUUUUGUGAGAUAGUAAAAUUCGUUUCCACUGUGUUUUUCAUUGUCUGCAGACAUUUUAAUGUUUUAAAAAGUAGCCUUUAAACUCGUCUUUAAAUUUUGAAAAAUAAAAACAUUGGCCCUACGGCUUUAAAUCUCGCGCGGUCCGUACGGGCUCAUACGGACCGCUCACGUAGCCAAUCAGAUUGCAGAAAAGCGUAAAAUAUGACUUCGGACCGCAAGAAAAAAAAUAAAAAGCCAUAUUAACUGCUAUCUGGAAGCUUGAAAAUUAUGCCGAGUCUUCGACUAAAAAUGUUUUGACAACACAGUCAUGUCAGGCAAAUAUUUCCAAUCUCCUUAGCUACUUAAACCUGUCGAGUAGAAAGCAUAGUUGUGUAUACCAGUAUGGUCGAUCUAGUGUUGAUCACAACUUGCGAGUAUAUAAAUAACAUGAACGAUUAUACGACCAUUGCACAGACUCAGUAUCGUAAAUUUGUAUAUAAAUUUUUUUAAUUGAGCACAUUUUUAAUACAGUUUGAAUUUGGUUAUGUAGACAUCGAACAUGAUCACAUUGUCGACAUUUUUCGUAUUUACAAAGUUAUUUGUAUAUAUAACUUUCCCGCCAUAUUAAAAAUACUGAAAUCUGCUAGGCGUUCUGAAGUAUCUUUAGCGUUGACGUCACACCUAGAUCCCAGUCUCGUACUACAUCCACGUUUUUCUCGCGCUUGCUUCAGAACGACUGGGACUAGGCUGAUCUGCGACAUCUCCCCCUUACCCCCAACUAUUCAAUUUUGAUUGCAUCCCCAGUAUAGUACGGAUAAAGCAACUGUAAAACGUCCAACAAUGGUUUUUUUUUGGGGGGGACACAAGCAAAUUAUUCUGGUCUAAUAGAAUAAGUAAAAAAAACAAAACACAUAGGGAUGUCUUAAUAGAGUAUCGCAGAUGGUUUUGACCAGGAUUGUACUUAUCGAUUGGUUACCGCAACAUAAAAUCAACAAGCAUGUAAGCAUGCACUAAUGCCAACAAUGACAUCGACACUCAAACAACUCCAACACUUACACGCCCAUGGUUGCAUGUAGGAAUAGAACUUUAUGAAUUAUGAAUUUGAAACAUUCUAACAACGAAUUAGUCGCACUUCGCUUUAUUCUUAUGGCUAUCAAAUAUCCAAGCUGCUUUUAGGACGAACCGUGUGGCACGAAAUGUUCAUUCGUUGAUGUUGCAUCUGCAUGCAUGAUUUUAGUGAAACCAGUAUUUGUUUCGACAUUCGUUUAGACGCGAGACUAUACAUUAAAUACGAAUGGAGAGGACAAAUAAUUCUACCUAAAUGUUGAUUCAAAACUCAUCGUGUGGGUGAUAAUCUGGGUGGCAUGCUGCUGGUGUAUGGAAUACAAAUUCGUAUUCACAUUUACUUGGUUCUGCUACACCAACCAAUUCGUUCUUAGUUCCACAGCUGAGUUUCACCU